GGCGAUGGGAAGGUGGGGACUGUCCGUGAAGUGCGGGUCAUAUCGGGCCUACCAGCUGCUAACAGCAUGGAGAGACUUGAGAUCCUUGAUGAGGAACGCCACGUCAUCAGCUUCAGUGUCGUAGGCGGGGACCACCGCCUGGUGAAUUACCGAUCUGUUACCACACUCCACUCCGAUCAAAGCUCAGGGACGACCAUAGUUGUCGAAUCGUACGUUGUUGAUAUACCUCAUGGGAAUACUAC
rnacentral:misc_RNA from 1 species